rnacentral:rRNA from 1 species
GAUGAACGCCAACUUCCGGCCUAACACCUGCCAGUCCAAGGGCCACCUUUUUCCUACCAUAAAAAAAAUGGCCACCGGCCCCCCGGUGAAUUACCCCUAUCCCACCCGCCCAAUACUCCCGAAUAACCCUUCCAAAGAAAAAAUAAUACCCGAAGGCCUAACAAUAUCCCCAGAAAUUUUUAUUUAAAAAUUUCCGUUUACGAUGGGGAAUCCUUCCCUUUAUUUGUUGGCCGGGUAACGGCCCACCAAGACUACGAUGGAUAGGGGUUCUGAGAGGAAGGUCCCCCACAUUGGAACUGAGACACGGUCCAAACUCCUACGGGAGGCAGCAGUGAGGAAUAUUGGUCAAUGGGCGAGAGCCUGAACCAGCCAAGUAGCGUGAAGGAUGAAGGCUCUAUGGGUCGUAAACUUCUUUUAUAUGGGAAUAAAGUUUUCCACGUGUGGAAUUUUGUAUGUACCAUAUGAAUAAGGAUCGGCUAACUCCGUGCCAGCAGCCGCGGUAAUACGGAGGAUCCGAGCGUUAUCCGGAUUUAUUGGGUUUAAAGGGAGCGUAGAUGGAUGUUUAAGUCAGUUGUGAAAGUUUGCGGCUCAACCGUAAAAUUGCAGUUGAUACUGGAUGUCUUGAGUGCAGUUGAGGCAGGCGGAAUUCGUGGUGUAGCGGUGAAAUGCUUAGAUAUCACGAAGAACUCCGAUUGCGAAGGCAGCCUGCUAAGCUGCAACUGACAUUGAGGCUCGAAAGUGUGGGUAUCAAACAGGAUUAGAUACCCUGGUAGUCCACACGGUAAACGAUGAAUACUCGCUGUUUGCGAUAUACGGCAAGCGGCCAAGCGAAAGCGUUAAGUAUUCCACCUGGGGAGUACGCCGGCAACGGUGAAACUCAAAGGAAUUGACGGGGGCCCGCACAAGCGGAGGAACAUGUGGUUUAAUUCGAUGAUACGCGAGGAACCUUACCCGGGCUUAAAUUGCACUCGAAUGAUCCGGAACGGUUCAGCUAGCAAUAGCGAGUGUGAAGGUGCUGCAUGGUUGUCGUCAGCUCGUGCCGUGAGGUGUCGGCUUAAGUGCCAUAACGAGCGCAACCCUUGUUGUCAGUUACUAACAGGUGAUGCUGAGGACUCUGACAAGACUGCCAUCGUAAGAUGUGAGGAAGGUGGGGAUGACGUCAAAUCAGCACGGCCCUUACGUCCGGGGCUACACACGUGUUACAAUGGGGGGUACAGAGGGCCGCUACCACGCGAGUGGAUGCCAAUCCCUAAAACCCCUCUCAGUUCGGACUGGAGUCUGCAACCCGACUCCACGAAGCUGGAUUCGCUAGUAAUCGCGCAUCAGCCACGGCGCGGUGAAUACGUUCCCGGGCCU